rnacentral:rRNA from 1 species
CACGUAGGCACCCAGCGUUGUCCGGAUUUAUUGGGCGUAAAGAGCUCGUAGGCGGUUCGAUAAGUCGGGUGUGAAAACUUUGGGCUCAACCCAAAGCGUGCACUCGAUACUGUUGUGACUAGAGUUCGGUAGGGGAGUGGGGAAUUCCUAGUGUAGCGGUGAAAUGCGCAGAUAUUAGGAGGAACACCGGUGGCGAAGGCGCCACUCUGGGCCGAAACUGACGCUGAGGAGCGAAAGCGUGGGUAGCAAACAGG